GGGGAGGGAGCAAACAAGGGAAGCCUGUUGCUGGUUCUCAGCCCCCUCUGCUGCUGCAGGGGCCCCCCUAAAGCCUUACCUGAAUUUCUUGCCUGGCCUCUGAUCAGUUUCUAUUGAUCAAAGAGGCCAAGCACUCUGGUCCGUAACACUGUAUUGAAAUCUAGUGAGAACGCUUAGCAGACCCUCGGUGAAUGUUAGUUUCUUGUGCCUCAUCCCAGGAAACAAUCAACUGAGAGGCAGAGACAUUGCGUCAUCUCCACAUCUGCUGAUGUCCAUUUUUAUGCGCUCUGCAUCGGGGGUACCAGGAGACUCCCCUACUUCCACCACCUUCCCUGUUCCCAGGCUGCAGUUGCCUUCAGCUUCCCUGGGACCCUCAAGCCUGAAAGAAUGGAUGUGAAGCUUUCCAGCUCAGAUCUUCAGAAAGGAGAACAGUUGGCUCCAAUCAAGCCUGUUCUGUUCACAGACUUGUGAAGGGGAAGGGGCACACCAGUUUGAACCCUCGAUUCUGGGACUGGAGGUGUCUGGGAUCUGCUACAAAAAGAUAAGGGGCCUUAAAAAAACCAACAAGAGUUAAAUGUGGCCCCGAGUGUCCCCCUUCUGCCCCAUCCUCUUGUCCCUGCCUUAUAGCUGAUCUGUGGCCCUUAGAUGUGAGAUUCUGCAAGACUGGGGUUUUCAUCUGCAGCUUGGAGCAGGGGUGGUUGGUCUGCCAAACCAUGACUGUCCAGCGUGUCCCUUUCCUGUACUCUGCCACCAAGCCAGGCCCCAGGCUGUGGGGACCACGAGCAAUCAUGGACAUUCCUGUCAAUGACAAAGAACUUCAAAAAUUUGCAGCUGGCAGGAAGAAUCAGGGCAGCCGACCUAGACCUGCGGGGCACGGAACUCAGCGGUACUUCUCCGUCAGCACCACGGCCACGCCCGUCAGGAACUUAUCCCACGCCGCCUGCAUCUCCACCAUGAACUCGCCCUGCAGGUGGGAGGCCAGCACCACCUGGAAACACUGGAUCACCAGUGGGAAGUUGGUGGGGUCCACGUGCAGCACUUGUGCGUGCAGGUCGGCAAGCGGGCUCAGGACUGCGCACAGGUUGUCCAUGUACUGCACGGCCCUGUAUAAAAGAUUUUGUGCGGACGUAAGUUUUUACUUAUCUGAGAUAAAUACUCAGGACUGCAAUGGCUGUACUAUUUCACAUUCCCACCAACAGUGGACGAGAGAUCCAGUUCCCCAGAAUCGUCACCAGCAUUUGGAUGCAUGUGGAGUGAGCUGGAGGCUGUGAGAGGCCAGACCACACCAGGCUCUGUGGAAUGGAAUCCUGAAUCCAGCAGCACUCUGGGCACUGGAGAACACAGUCCCUUUAAACCAUGUAACUCCGUCACAGAGAAAUGGAAGAGGAAAUUGAGACUCUGUUGGCCUCUGGAUCUUGGAAUAUGCCCUUCCCACUUUUAUCACUAACCUGGAGAAUUCUGGAGGCACUUCAUUUGCAUUUAAAGGAAUGUUUGCAUAGGAGGAUUCUUUCUGAAAUUGUUUGCAUCCGGGGACUCAAAUUGCCUAAUUGGGUUCAGGGGUACUUUCUUAUUUGUGCGGUGAGGUGGCUUGGAUAGAGCCCCCCUGACCUCCUGCCCUGAAGUGGGAUUUGUCUGUUCAGGUUGUCAAGGGUGUGGGGAGCGGGGUUGAGCAUUGCCUGUAGCACAGCAGGGCACUCCAUCUGCUUAGGAAGUCCCAGGCUGCCUUUCCGUGUAACUGCGCCAAGGGAAAGCUUCCCAGACCUUUUGGAGUUCAAACAGCUCUUGUAAAAUGGCAUUUUGAUGAGCUGAGCAUAAAUGAAUUGGAAAUGUUCAGAUAAUGUUUCCCCAGGGUUUAAAAACCAAGGAGAAACAUGCUUGGCAAAGGGUCUAAGGGGCUGGGCCAAGAGUUUGAAAAGUGAUUUGAGAUGCUAUGAUGAACCUAAAUUACCACCAGUUUCUCCCACCUUUGCUGGUGCAGAGGGCCUGGGGGAAGGGGCCUCAGGCAGGAGGAAAGAGCUUCUUUCUCCACCAGGGAGAAGGGAGAGCAGCUUUGACACCAUGGUCAUCUAAUGUGGGGCUUUCUCAACUUUCAGGCUGAGUUUACUAUCAGAUCUGUCUACCCAUCUCUGCAUCCAUUAUUCCAUCCAUCCUUUCGUCCAUCUAUUCAUCAUUCCAUCCAUCCAUCCAUUCAUUCAUCCAUCAUUCCAUCCAUCCUUCUGUCCACCUAUCCAUCUAAUGAAUACUUACUAAGCACACACUGUGUACAUGACUCUGAGAAGACAGAAGAUAAUGAGCCUCAGUCCCUGACCUUUCAGAUCUCAGUGUUCUGGUGGGAGAAACUUGAGGACAGGCAGGGGCUACAGGAGUCAGGGUAAGAAUGGUACCCCUUUGAGACUUCCAGAGUGACAACUUUGCCAAAGUUUCCAAUGACACCCUGGUGGGGUGAUAGGAUGCCUCCAAGUUGGACCAGGGACCCCCAAGAUGAGGUGCCAUUCGGAAUGGAAAGUGAAGGAAGGGGUUCACCCUACACUUGAGCCCAAAGCUGUACCAGAAUGACCCCAGGACAGUGGAUUCUAGAGAUGACGCAGUGGAAGGGUCAUCAGUGCCAGAGGAGAGCCUUAUCCCUCUAAACACUGUCCUAGGACCAUUGCUUAUUACCCCAUGCAGCUCCCACAGCAACCCCGGAAGAUACUCCUAUCCUCCCUUAGAAAAAAGAGGAUUUUAGGGUGGGGACUUAGCCCACGGUUACCUGGAUGGAAAGCUGGGAACUGGUGCCUCCAUCUGCACUGGGUGAUGAGGCUCCUUUCUAGAGGAAAGCAGAACCAGGACACCAGUGGCCACAAACUCCAGGGUCUGCCACCAGGCUGGGUAUGCAGUGUUGACCUUAGCCAGGAAGAGAAAUUGUUUAGAAUGGCAAGUCUGAAGCUGCAAGGAUACGCCAGCCCAGGGAAGUCUCUUGAUGCACCUAAAUUCUUCUUGGUGCAGAAGACAGAAUCUUGGAAGAGAUUUGGAGACCAUUGGAUCUGAUUUCUAAUUCUGCUGACCCAUCCUGUCCCAAAAGGGAACUUUUUUUUAUUAAUAAAAAACUCUUUAUUUUGU
ensembl:lncRNA